GACCUAGUAGCAUAUGUGAAGGGGUGGCCAGCAGGGCACUGGCUGCAUGUACAGCUCUGGCACAGGAAGGGGCUGCCCUGGCUACUGGGUCCAGUCUCUUUGUAUGGUAGGACUUUGGGGUCCUUCAGGGUCACAGUGACUGGUGGGACAUUGAGGCAUCCGAUAUCCUGGGGUCCUCUGGCCCAGAGAGUAUCGGGAUGAGGUGCAAAAUGGUUUGCAGCGAAUCCCCUUGCUCAUAUGAAUCAGUGCAGAAUUUUAUUGUCAGACAUCCAGCAGCCGUGGGUUUCACAUAAUUUGAGCGAAAACCACAAAGACCAAGAAGCAAGACAGUUUCUUAUCAGAAAGAGGAUCUUAAACUAACACAGCAGAAACUAACAUUUCUGUGAAAAGAAAAAAGGUGGGGGUCAACUGAUCCCCCGUAGCGGUCCUGCAAUGUGGUGGAAUGAUCUGCUAAUUUAGCUUUUGU